GAUGAACGCUGGCGGCGUGCCUAAUACAUGCAAGUCGAGCGAACGGACGAGAAGCUUGCUUCUCUGAUGUUAGCGGCGGACGGGUGAGUAACACGUGGAUAACCUACCUAUAAGACUGGGAUAACUUCGGGAAACCGGAGCUAAUACCGGAUAAUAUUUUGAACCGCAUGGUUCAAAAGUGAAAGACGGUCUUGCUGUCACUUAUAGAUGGAUCCGCGCUGCAUUAGCUAGUUGGUAAGGUAACGGCUUACCAAGGCAACGAUGCAUAGCCGACCUGAGAGGGUGAUCGGCCACACUGGAACUGAGACACGGUCCAGACUCCUACGGGAGGCAGCAGUAGGGAAUCUUCCGCAAUGGGCGAAAGCCUGACGGAGCAACGCCGCGUGAGUGAUGAAGGUCUUCGGAUCGUAAAACUCUGUUAUUAGGGAAGAACAUAUGUGUAAGUAACUGUGCGCAUCUUGACGGUACCUAAUCAGAAAGCCACGGCUAACUACGUGCCAGCAGCCGCGGUAAUACGUAGGUGGCAAGCGUUAUCCGGAAUUAUUGGGCGUAAAGCGCGCGUAGGCGGUUUUUUAGUCUGAUGUGAAAGCCCACGGCUCAACCGUGGAGGGUCAUUGGAAACUGGAAAACUUGAGUGCAGAAGAGGAAAGUGGAAUUCCAUGUGUAGCGGUGAAAUGCGCAGAGAUAUGGAGGAACACCAGUGGCGAAGGCGACUUUCUGGUCUGUAACUGACGCUGAUGUGCGAAAGCGUGGGGAUCAAACAGGAUUAGAUACCCUGGUAGUCCACGCCGUAAACGAUGAGUGCUAAGUGUUAGGGGGUUUCCGCCCCUUAGUGCUGCAGCUAACGCAUUAAGCACUCCGCCUGGGGAGUACGACCGCAAGGUUGAAACUCAAAGGAAUUGACGGGGACCCGCACAAGCGGUGGAGCAUGUGGUUUAAUUCGAAGCAACGCGAAGAACCUUACCAAAUCUUGACAUCCUUUGACAACUCUAGAGAUAGAGCCUUCCCCUUCGGGGGACAAAGUGACAGGUGGUGCAUGGUUGUCGUCAGCUCGUGUCGUGAGAUGUUGGGUUAAGUCCCGCAACGAGCGCAACCCUUAAGCUUAGUUGCCAUCAUUAAGUUGGGCACUCUAAGUUGACUGCCGGUGACAAACCGGAGGAAGGUGGGGAUGACGUCAAAUCAUCAUGCCCCUUAUGAUUUGGGCUACACACGUGCUACAAUGGACAAUACAAAGGGCAGCGAAACCGCGAGGUCAAGCAAAUCCCAUAAAGUUGUUCUCAGUUCGGAUUGUAGUCUGCAACUCGACUACAUGAAGCUGGAAUCGCUAGUAAUCGUAGAUCAGCAUGCUACGGUGAAUACGUUCCCGGGUCU
rnacentral:rRNA from 1 species